rnacentral:rRNA from 1 species
UACGAAGGGAGCUAGCGUUGUUCGGAAUUACUGGGCGUAAAGGGCGCGUAGGCGGCCUGUUAAGUCGAACGUGAAAUCCCCGGGCUCAACCCGGGAACUGCGUCCGAUACUGGCAGGCUUGAAUUCGGGAGAGGGAUGUGGAAUUCCAGGUGUAGCGGUGAAAUGCGUAGAUAUCUGGAGGAACACCGGUGGCGAAGGCGGCAUCCUGGACCGAUAUUGACGCUGAUGCGCGAAAGCCAGGGGAGCAA